UGACCCCCAAGGAGCUCACGGCCGAUCGUGGCCUUCUAGGCCUGGCCGCCAUACACCCACCCGCCAACCGCUUCCAACCAACCCAGCAAGCUCAACCUCUUUGGGCGUUCCAACGCGGCGCCCCCUA
ensembl:misc_RNA predicted gene, 27849